CCGAGUUUACAACUCCCAAACCCAUGUGAACCUUACCAUGUCUGUUGCCUCGGCGGACUGCCCUCGCUCUCGUGGCGAGGCCGCCAGAGGACCCAAACAACUCUGAUUUCGAUUCUCGGUAUACUUCUGAGUGAUACUACAAAAUAAAUCA
rnacentral:misc_RNA from 1 species